rnacentral:rRNA from 1 species
CUAAAUAUCUAAACGGAGAAAUUCAAUAUUACCCCUUAACCGCGUAAUGUGCACUUUUCUCUUAGUAAGACGCUGUGAUUCAUUAGAAAUUGAUAUACGCCAAGUAUAUAGUGGGUCAUCAAUAGGCUGAUGUGAAGUUUAUUGGAACAAAUGGCAUAAUCUUUAACGGUUGUGUGUAUUGUCUGGUAAGCGCGUCAUGUCCUGUAAUGACUGUCUGAUGAGUUUUAAAGAUUAUACUAUUGAUGUUAYGGCAUCAUGUGCAUAUUGCAUAAUAACAGUAUAUAUCUGAUCAACAGCGGUUAAAUUUGGGAUACCUUUAUGACCCGUCUUGAAACACGGACCAAGGAGUCUAUCUAGUAUGUGAGUAAAUGGAUAGUUAAUGAAAUCUAUUUGCGUAAUAAACGUAACUGUUAUGGGAUUACGAUUGAUAAUUGUAAAAUUAUUUUUCUUCCAUCCCGGGGUAUUUUUAUCAACAUAUAAGCAAUUAUAUGGAAAAUAUACCAUGAACAUACUGGAUACGACCCGAAAGAUGGUGAACUAUGCCUGAUCAGGUCGAAGUCAGGGGAAACCCUGAUGGAGGACCGAAGCAGUUCUGACGUGCAAAUCGAUUGUCAGAAUUGGGCAUAGGGGCGAAAGACCAAUCGAACCAUC